GGGAAUGUAGCUCAGUAGGUUAGAGCGCAUGACUACAGGUCAUGAGGUCGAAGGUUCAAGCCCUUCUGUUCCCUCCA
rnacentral:tRNA from 1 species